GAUGAAGAACGUAGUGAAAUGCGAUAAGUAAUGCGAAUUGCAGAAUUCAGUGAGUCAUCGAAUCUUUGAACGCACAUUGCGCCCGCCAGCACUCUGGCGGGCAUGCCUGUUCGAGCGUCAUUUCAACCAUCAAGCCCCAGGCUUGCGUUGGAGCCCUGCGGCUGCCGCAGCCUCCUAAAAGCAGUGGCGGGCUCGCUAUCACACCGAGUGCAGUAGAUUACUCUUCGCUCAGGGCGUGCAGCGGGUUCCGGCCGUGAAACCCCCUACUUUUAAAGGUUGACCUCGGAUCAGGUAGGAAUACCCGCUGAACUUAAGCAUAUCAAUAAGCGGAGGA
rnacentral:misc_RNA from 1 species